rnacentral:rRNA from 1 species
GACGAACGCUGGCGGUGUGCUUAACACAUGCAAGUCGAACGGUAAGGCCCUUUCGGGGGUACACGAGUGGCGAACGGGUGAGUAACACGUGAGUAACCUGCCCUCAUCUCUGGGAUAACAGUCGGAAACGGUUGCUAAUACUGGAUAUGAGCUUGCAAGGCAUCUUGUGGGUUGGAAAGAUUUUUUUUGGUUGGGGAUGGACUCGCGGCCUAUCAGCUUGUUGGUGAGGUAGUGGCUCACCAAGGCUUCGACGGGUAGCCGGCCUGAGAGGGCGACCGGCGACAUUGGGACUGAGAUACGGCCCAAACUCCUACGGGAGGCAGCAGUGGGGAAUAUUGCACAAUGGACGGAAGUCUGAUGCAGCAACGCCGCGUGCGGGAUGACGGCCUUCGGGUUGUAAACCGCUUUCAAUUGUGACGAAGCUUUUUUGUGACGGUAGCAGUAGAAGAAGCACCGGCUAACUACGUG